UUUAUUAAUCAAUGCUAAUACUCUUAAAAUAUACGACGUCGAAUUAUUUUCUGCGAAAUUUCUGAGCAACGGAAAGUCGCAAGAACUUGGGUUCCAGAGUUCUUUAGUACUAGAGUAACGUUGGUGUAUAAACGUCAGUUAAAUUUUGUGCAGAAGUGUGUGAAUUAGGUAUCCUCUCGUAAAUAUUACGACGCUUUACUGUUAACGAUAGUAACAUAAGCCGUCUAAGUACAAGCAUAAAGAUCUCUAUGCUUUGCGAUUCAUUCUCCAAAUAUAUGAUUGAUGCCAGUCCCUACCUUGGCAAAAACUUCGAUACUGGAGGAUUACCUCUUACAAAUUUUUAUGUGAAGGAAUUGACAAAAUCGGUCCAUGAUAGCAACCGUAACAUUACCGUGCAUACUGAUAUUGUGUGUUUUUAAGGGAUAAUAAACAUAAGUACUAUUAAUCAUGUGAUAUAUUUCCAUAAUUCGCGCAAAACAAAUAGGACGCCAGUUUACCGAUCUCAGUUUAUGUUUUAUUUGGGCAAAAGCCUUGCUGACUCAUAGAUGCGCAAAAGAUUAACCAUAUUAAAUUUACGGCGCAAUAUUCGACAGGACAUAAACGAAAUCCUAAAUAUACAAUCGACUUCUGUAUGAGCUUUCGUAACGUUCGGUUGUGUGACAGUUCAGUGUGGAAGUGAUAAUUCAAAAAAAAACGCAGGCGACAAAAACAAAAUAGGAACUACAUAAUAGAGCUACAGAAAAACAAGAAGAAGGACAAGGACCACAUAGGACCAAAAAAAAAAAAAUAGAUCUGAAGUUGACAGGACACCUGGUUGUGCAUUGCCUUGAGCAAGACGCGCAUAACCAAUAA